rnacentral:rRNA from 1 species
UACGAAGGGGGCUAGCGUUGCUCGGAAUCACUGGGCGUAAAGGGUGCGUAGGCGGGUCUUUAAGUCAGGGGUGAAAUCCUGGAGCUCAACUCCAGAACUGCCUUUGAUACUGGAAAGCUUGAGUUCGGGAGAGGUGAGUGGAACUGCGAGUGUAGAGGUGAAAUUCGUAGAUAUUCGCAAGAACACCAGUGGCGAAGGCGGCUCACUGGCCCGAUACUGACGCCGAGGUGCGAAAGCGUGGGGAGCAAACAGG